ACGGGAGGCAGCAGUGGGGAAUAUUGCACAAUGGGGGAAACCCUGAUGCAGCGACGCCGCGUGAGUGAAGAAGUAUUUCGGUAUGUAAAGCUCUAUCAGCAAGGAAGAAAAUGACGGUACUUGACUAAGAAGCCCCGGCUAACUACGUGCCAGCAGCCGCGGUAGUACGUAGGGGGCAAGCGUUAUCCGGAUUUACUGGGUGUAAAGGGAGCGUAGACGGCAUAGCAAGUCUGAAGUGAAAUGCAUGGGCUCAACCCAUGAACUGCUUUGGAAACUGUUAAGCUAGAGUGCAGGAGAGGUAAGUGGAAUUCCUAGUGUAGCGGUGAAAUGCGUAGAUAUUAGGAGGAACACCAGAGGCGAAGGCGGCUUACUGGACUGUAACUGACGUUGAGGCUCGAAAGCGUGGGGAGCAAACAGGAUUAGAUACCCUGGUA
rnacentral:rRNA from 1 species